rnacentral:rRNA from 1 species
UACGGGGGGGGCAAGCGUUGUUCGGAAUUACUGGGCGUAAAGGGCUCGUAGGCGGCCAACUAAGUCAGACGUGAAAUCCCUCGGCUUAACCGGGGAACUGCAUCUGAUACUGGAUGGCUUGAGUUCGGGAGAGGGAUGCGGAAUUCCAGGUGUAGCGGUGAAAUGCGUAGAUAUCUAGAGGAACGCCAAAGGUGAAGACAGGCGACUGGGCCGAUUCUGACGCUGAGGCACGAAAGCGUGGGGAGCGAACGGG